UACAGAGGGGGCAAGCGUUGUUCGGAAUUACUGGGCGUAAAGGGCGCGUAGGCGGCCUGUUAAGUCGAACGUGAAAUCCCCGGGCUCAACCCGGGAACUGCGUCCGAUACUGGCAGGCUUGAAUUCGGGAGAGGGAUGUGGAAUUCCAGGGGUAGCGGUGAAAUGCGUAGAUAUCUGGAGGAACACCGGUGGCGAAGGCGGCAUCCUGGACCGAUAUUGACGCUGAUGCGCGAAAGCCAGGGGAGCAAACGGG
rnacentral:rRNA from 1 species